AGCUUUGUGCAGUGGCAGUAUCAUAGCCAACAAGGUUUAUCCGAGGCGUGAUUAUUGCUAAUUGAAAACUUAAGACCUGAAUGAAAGCUUUGCCACUCCUUACAUAUAAUAGGC
rnacentral:snRNA from 1 species